AGGAGGAAAGUACAAGAGCAUGUUUGAAGGCUGAUAAAAAGAAUUCUGGAGAAAGAGAGUGAUUGAAGACAAGAGAAAUGAGGAAAAAUCUAGAGAAGUAAAAAUGCAAGGGAACCUAAAAUAAAAAGCCUGACAAUAACGGAUGUUGUCAAGGAGAUGGUUGACUAGAAACAUCAGAUACCAGUUUCCUUCAGGAAAAAAAAAAAGUUAUCAAGGGGAAAGUGCCGGAGCCUAUGAAAAACUCACAGGAAGAAACUGGGGCACAGACAAAGAAGGAAGCACGAGGCUGGCAGGGAUUGGCUGGGAACCCAAAGGACUUGUUACUUCAUCAAAAGGGCUGGAGUGCAGUGGAGUGACCUUGGCUCCGUGGAACCUUUGCCUCCAAGGUUCAAGUGAUUCUCCUGCCUCAGGCUCCCAAGUAGCUGGGAUUACAGGUGGGCACCACCAUACUCGACUAAUUAUAUUCUAUUACAUUUUUUAUAAAUAAUAUGAUUACAUAUUAAAUAACUUAAAAUUUUAAGCUGGC
rnacentral:lncRNA from 1 species